GGUCACAGUCUUGGACGGGCGUCCCCCGCCGAUUCUGUCCUUUGUCAUCCGAGGUCAUCCGAUGCCGAGCCCUCCUUUCACUAUGUUUUCCUCUCCGUUCUCCAUCCCUUUGCCUGUGACACCCUCACGAGGUCGAGUCCGCUUUGCCCGUUUGCACGUGUGUCCCCUGGCACGGUCUCCUUGAACCAGCCCCUCCCGCUCCGCCCUCUCGUCUCCCCGUUCUGCUUCUCUUCCCUCCUUCCCGGGCCUGGACACGCCGCUCGAGGAACAUUCGUUGAGCCCCCACAGCACGUGAGCUGCGCGCGGGGCUGCCGGCGGCCCUUUUUCGGCGCUGCUGCAGCUCCCCGCUCCCCCAGCUGCCCCCCUCCCCACCUGCCGGGAACCUGGGUCCCAACUGCCCAGCCUGCGUCACGGAAGCCGCUCGCCCCUGCCCAGCACAUCGCCCCGCCCCCUUCCUCGGAGCCGACUCCUGAUUGGUGGGGGCGCGGUCCUGCUGCCGGCGCCCGCCCGCCCCCCGCGUGGCCCCGCCCCCGGGGCCGCCACAGGCUCCUCCCCCUCGCCCCCGCCCCUGCGCUGCUCCUCCCGCUCACCUACCCGCGGCGCGCGGAGAAGUUCUGGGCAAAGUACCGGGAACCGGCCGCGCGAGCGCGGGGCAGCGAGCCGGGCAGGGCAGCAGGGCCCCGGCGCAGGGCGGCCGGCGCGCGGUGCGGGCUCUGGCCCCGCUGUCCAUCCGCCGGUGGCCGUCCCCGCCUCGAUCGCCUGCGGCUGGCGCGGGAGCCGCCCUCGGCGCGCUGCGGAGCGGGACCGGAGCGGCGGGCUCUGCCUCCUCCCGGCUCUGGGGACGGAUCCGGGAGUCGGCACCGGAGCCACAGACGGCGUCCCCGGCGGCUGAGCGCGGCAGCUUUUGCUGUGAUACAUAGUCCUUAAGAUAAAGGACAGGAAGAGGCAGGAGAAGGAGGACCCUGACCAACAAAGGCCACUGACUUCUAUGGAAUAAACAAAGUCCAGACAGCUACCUUGUUCGGAGUGUCAGGUAAGCUUGUGAUGACUGGCAUCCAUUCCUAGAGUCUUGGGGUAGAGCAAACUGUAUCCAGCUCCCAGUGUGGAUAUAGGCUACUCUCUUCCCCUCAUUGUUUUUCCAUUAUCCUUCCCUCUACCCAAACCCCCACUCUUCCUUCUUGCUUCCAUGUCUGAUAGGGUUUAUUUCUUUGACUUUCAUUAAGAGAGAGGGGGUGAGGGGUGGGGGGAGAGUAGAGAGA
rnacentral:lncRNA from 1 species